rnacentral:tRNA from 1 species
GCCAGAGUGCUGGAAUGGUAGACAGGUCAGUCUCAAAAACUGAUGUCCUUCGGGACGUGAGGGUUCGAGUCCCUCCUCUGGUA